GGAUGCGAUCAUACCAACACUAUUGCAUCGAAUCCCAUCAGAACUCGGCAGUUAAGCGUGCUUUGGCGAGAGUUGUACUAGGAUAGGUGAUGUAGUGACCCGCAUAAGGGCAUCGG